GAGUUUGAUCGUGGCUCAGGAUGAACGCUGGCGGCGUGCCUAAUACAUGCAAGUCGAGCGAACGGACGAGAAGCUUUGCUUCUCUGAUGUUAGCGGCGGACGGGUGAGUAACACGUGGAUAACCUACCUAUAAGACUGGGAUAACUUCGGGAAACCGGAGCUAAUACCGGAUAAUAUUUUGAACCGCAUGGUCCAAAAGUGAAAGACGGUCUUGCUGUCACUUAUAGAUGGAUCCGCGCUGCAUUAGCUAGUUGGUAAGGUAACGGCUUACCAAGGCAACGAUGCAUAGCCGACCUGAGAGGGUGAUCGGCCACACUGGAACUGAGACACGGUCCAGACUCCUACGGGAGGCAGCAGUAGGGAAUCUUCCGCAAUGGGCGAAAGCCUGACGGAGCAACGCCGCGUGAGUGAUGAAGGUCUUCGGAUCGUAAAACUCUGUUAUUAGGG
rnacentral:rRNA from 1 species